rnacentral:rRNA from 1 species
AUUGAACGCUGGCGGCAGGCCUAACACAUGCAAGUCGAGCGGAUGACGGGAGCUUGCUCCUUGAUUCAGCGGCGGACGGGUGAGUAAUACCUAGGAAUCUGCCUGAUAGUGGGGGACAACGUUUCGAAAGGAACGCUAAUACCGCAUACGUCCUACGGGAGAAAGCAGGGGACCUUCGGGCCUUGCGCUAUCAGAUGAGCCUAGGUCGGAUUAGCUAGUUGGUGAGGUAAUGGCUCACCAAGGCGACGAUCUGUAGCUGGUCUGAGAGGACGAUCAGCCACACUGGGACUGAGACACGGCCCAGACUCCUACGGGAGGCAGCAGUGGGGAAUUUUGGACAAUGGGCGCAAGCCUGAUCCAGCAAUGCCGCGUGCGGGAUGAAGGCCUUCGGGUUGUAAAGCUCUUUAGCGUGGGAAGAAGGUAGAUAUGGUGAACAAUCAUGUUUGCUGACGGUACCACGAGAAUAAGCACCGGAUAAUUUCGUGCCAGCCGCCGCAGUAAGAC